rnacentral:rRNA from 1 species
UACAGAGGUGCCGAGCGUUAGGCGGAAUCACUGGGCGUAAAGAGCGCGCAGGCGGUCGUUCAAGUCGAGUGUGAAAGCCCCCGGCUCAACUGGGGAGGGUCAUUCGAUACUGAUCGACUCGAAGGCAGGAGAGGGUAGUGGAAUUCCCGGUGUAGUGGUGAAAUGCGUAGAUAUCGGGAGGAACACCAGUGGCGAAGGCGACUACCUGGCCUGUUCUUGACGCUGAGGCGCGAAAGCUAGGGGAGCAAACGGG